CUACUACUCCCUCCGUCCGAAAAUACUUGUCAUUGAAAUGGAUGUAUCUAGAUGUAUUUUAGUUCUAGACACAUCCAUUUUGAUGACAAGUAAUUCCGGACGGAGGGUGUAUUAU
rnacentral:pre_miRNA from 1 species